CCUACGGGAGGCAGCAGUAGGGAAUAUUGCUCAAUGGGGGAAACCCUGAAGCAGCAACGCCGCGUGGAGGAUGAAGGUUUUCGGAUUGUAAACUCCUUUUGUUAGAGGAGAUAAUGACGGUAUCUAACGAAUAAGCACCGGCUAACUCCGUGCCAGCAGCCGCGGUAAUACGGAGGGUGCAAGCGUUACUCGGAAUCACUGGGCGUAAAGAGCGCGUAGGCGGGAUAGCAAGUCAGAUGUGAAAUCCUAUGGCUUAACCAUAGAACUGCAUUUGAAACUGGUAUUCUAGAGUAUGGGAGAGGUAGGUGGAAUGCUUGGUGUAGGGGUAAAAUGCGUAGAGAUCAAGAGGAAUACUCAUUGCGAAGGCGACCUGCUAGAACAUAACUGACGCUGAUGCGCGAAAGCGUGGGGAGCAAACAGGAUUAGAUACCCGUGUAGUC
rnacentral:rRNA from 1 species